GCCUUCUGAGAAGGGCCUCAGGGCCUUUGAGGUCCAGGAGCCACUUCCCUCUGCAGGCUUCCCUGCCCUCCCGGCCUGAUUAGAGCAAGGAUUUCAAUUUGCAGGAAAAGGAGGAGGAAAUUCAACCUGGGAAAUACUAUUUUCUUUCUCUGGUUAGCAAGAUGCCACUCUGGAAAUAUAAUCUCACGUUUAAGAUUUGAGAUAAUUGGUGAAAUGCGUGUGCAUAUAGCAUUUAUUUUCAUUUCUGUACACACAUGUAGAUUUUGGUAAAUAGAAGAGGGUUCUCAACUCAGUACCUCAGGUUACAAUGGGGCCGUGAGGAAGGAUGGUGGUGGAGAGAAGGCUGCUUUGCAGAUUUUCAGCUGAGGAAGCAGAGGGAACCACACUGAUGCUGUCCGGGCACCGCUCAGCGUGAGGCUGGUGACCUGAUGAAGUUGGUGCCUUUCACUGUGGAGCUGUUCAUGUGCCUGGCCCAGGACUAGAAGAUGAAGGAGGUGAUCUGGCGGGAGCUGAAGGAACUGCAUAUCCUGCUGCUGCCCCAGGCUAGCAAGGUGAUUCAGCGGAUCAGCAACGUGUGUGACCAGUGCUGAACUUCAAAGCUUAAUGGCAGCUGUUUAACUUGGGAUUUCCACAUCUCAUGCAAAUUUCUCUUGUGUACAAUCCUAGCUCAGAGUCCUGUAAGGAAAGAACUUUUGAGGAGCACAGUUCCAGCUUAGUUAAAUUGACACAAAGUAAAGCCACACCCUAAGUGCCUGUAGGACUUAGUUGGUGCCAGCACAGAACAGUGAAUUCCAGUGAACCUGGCAAGCAUUCACUAUUGCCUGGAAAGUUAGAGAUGGGCUGCGGUGAGAGGUAGCAAAAUCAAAACAUUUUACAGAUGGAUGAAACAUUUUGUAGAAGUGAAGAGAAUAUCUGCACUGAAGACAAAAGUCUAUCAAAGAGAUUACUGAACCAAACAUUCCCAGGUCUCUUGUUGAGAACUGCCCUGCCUCGUUUUAGGAGCUGUAACCACCCCCAUGGAUAAGGCUGAGCAAGUGACCUUUGGACCAUAAUCCACUAAGGAGACAAAGCUUAUCUCCCUGGUAGGGGUGCAGCCUCUGCUCCUUUUACUUCACCCUGCCUGGCCCCCAAUGCUUGAUUCAUUAACCAUUGACUGGACUCGGUAGUCAGUGUGAAUUUCUCGUGCGCCAUCCACAAUGUGGUGGACCCCACAAGCUGGGGUCCACAUCAGUCACUUGCCAGAAAUAUUGAAGAGUCAAGCAUAGGAAGACCACAUAUUUGUAUCAUUUUCCUGAAACAGACUUAGUCCAUCGAUGCUGUGCUAAGUGAAGUAAACCAGUUGGAGAAGGAUAAGCACCAUAUGAUUUCCCUCAUAUGUGAAGCCUAAUGAACAAACUGAACUAACAAGCAGCAUGGGUACAGAUUGGUAGAUGAAGACCAGGCUGAGAGUUCUGGGGUGGGGGUUGAGCAAAAAGGAAAAAGGACUCAUGGACAUGGACAACAGUAUGGUGAUUGUGGGGGAGAGAUGGGUGUAAGGGGGACAAAUGGUAAUGGAAAUAGUACAAUAAAAAAUAAACUAUUAAAAAUGAAAAAAAUCCAAUCUUCCUAGAAGCAGCCAACGUGAUACAUUCUGAGAAGGAGUGGUAUCUUAAAUACUGCCAUGGACAUCAAAGUCCCAGUAUCCAUGACAAAAAUGGGAAUGUGAUACCAGUUGGACUUGGAACUGUGUGAGUCUAUAUAUUUUGUCCACUGGCCUGUUGGGCUAAGAAGUCAGGUACUUUGUCCCCUGGUAUUUGCUGAAUAAGUCAGGUACUUUGUCCCCUGGUAUCUGCUGAAUACCAUGCACCCGGGCACAGAAAUGCUUGAUACUGUUUUUGAAUGAAUAGAAAAGAUAGUCCUAGAGGCUGCUAAUCUGAUUACAGCAGCAGCUGAAAUAGCGUCUCUGCAACUUUGAGACCAAAUGGUACAAGACUGCUCUCUCUAUUUCUCUACCAGUGAUAUCUUAUGUUCUAAUAUUCUAAGCCUUAGGUGUCUAAAUAAAGGUGUCAGGAAUACAUCUUUAAUUUCUGUUGUUUUUCUGAGCUUCUUCAAGUGAUCUAAUCUUUCUGUGGCCAUUUCUCUGAACAUGGAAUGAGACUAGACUAGAGCAACCACCUCAAAUAG